UACGGAGGGUGCAAGCGUUGUCCGGAUUUAUUGGGUUUAAAGGGUGCGUAGGCGGCUUUUUAAGUCAGUGGUGAAAUACAGCAGCUCAACUGUUGAGGUGCCAUUGAUACUGAAGAGCUUGAGUACAGAUGAGGUAGGCGGAAUUUAUGGUGUAGCGGUGAAAUGCAUAGAUACCAUAAAGAACACCGAUUGCGAAGGCAGCUUACUAAGCUGUAACUGACGCUGAGGCACGAAAAGCGUGGGGAGCGAACAGG
rnacentral:rRNA from 1 species